ACAGGCCCAUGCACAUAACUUUUGGCACAAACAUUCACCUUGGAUUGAUGAUAAAGAAUGCUUGCAGUCUGUGUGUAAAACUUUCAAGCCUAACAGACCUGUCUGAACAGCCAAGUGAGCGGCAGCUACGUACGUCAUCCACAUCACUUUCAGACAGGAAGAGCAAGAGUGGUAAUCUUGUUGAGAAACCCCCUCAAUGAAACCUACUAUUCCGACGAGAGUAGCCGAGCACACGCGGUGCAACUUUUGACCGACAGCAGGGGAUCUCCUGCAGAGUCAAGGAAACAAAGCACCAUGGAACCAUGGAUUCUCUUCACGCUCAGACUUAUUGCUUUUUCCUUCGCUGGAUGCCAGCACCUUGGAAUUAUAUCCAUGACAUUUUGAAAGCCAGUGUGCGCACUCAGUGUGCCACGUGUGUGUCUGUGCGUGACCUUGCCUCGCACUUGGUGAAGACAUUUAAACAAGGACGAGCUAGUGAACUGCUCUGCUUUGUUUGUCUUCUCCGAACACUCGAGAUCCCGCCUGGGCUGCACACGUUGUCCCUUCAUGGAGGCACUCACUGCUGGCAACAGGCUAACACAAACAUCUGCAAGCAGUCAACACUUAGGCUCAUUUUGUUGCUGUGCUCAGGCUCACACUGGAACGUACAAUCAAGACGUCUUUAUUUGCAACUUCAAAGUUGGUUUACGUUUUGUUAAUUGUUGUUCCUUUUAUUUAUGAUAAUGAAUACAGCUUAUUGCGUUUAUCGUACCCCCAUAAAUGAGAGAUAAACGAUG